UACGUAGGGGGCAAGCGUUGUCCGGAAUCAUUGGGCGUAAAGAGCGUGUAGGCGGCUCGGUAAGUCCGCUGUGAAAGUCCAGGGCUCAACCCUGGAAUGCCGGUGGAAACUGUCGAGCUAGAGUCCGGAAGAGGCGAGUGGAAUUCCUGGUGUAGCGGUGAAAUGCGCAGAUAUCAGGAGGAACACCAAUGGCGAAGGCAGCUCUCUGGGCCGUAACUGACGCUGAGGAGCGAAAGCGUGGGGAGCGAACAGG
rnacentral:rRNA from 1 species